CUACGGGUUGCUGCAGUGGGGAAUAUUGCACAAUGGGCGCAAGCCUGAUGCAGCCAUGCCGCGUGUAUGAAGAAGGCCUUCGGGUUGUAAAGUACUUUCAGCGGGGAGGAAGGGAGUAAAGUUAAUACCUUUGCUCAUUGACGUUACCCGCAGAAGAAGCACCGGCUAACUCCGUGCCAGCAGCCGCGGUAAUACGGAGGGUGCAAGCGUUAAUCGGAAUUACUGGGCGUAAAGCGCACGCAGGCGGUUUGUUAAGUCAGAUGUGAACUCCCCGGGCUCAACCUGGGAACGGCAUCUGAUACUGGCAAGCUUGAGUCUCGUAGAGGGGGGUAGAAUUCCAGGUGUAGCGGUGAAAUGCGUAGAGAUCUGGAGGAAUACCGGUGGCGAAGGCGGCCCCCUGGACGAAGACUGACGCUCAGGUGCGAAAGCGUGGGGAGCAAACAGGAUUAGAUACCCCGGUAGUC
rnacentral:rRNA from 1 species